AUCGUACACAGUAUAGUAAUACAAUGCAGGUAAAUACAAAUGCAUGCAGGCUAACGUAGCGUCGAACAUUAAUAACACAACACUGAUGACAUUUCAAGUCCAAGGAGGUUAGAACUUAGAUUUGGAUGUGUUUUCACUUCAGUACGCUCAACUGAGGAAGACAGACAAAAUUCUUUAUUCUAUUCUAGUCUAUAAACGCAAGUUUAUAGACUGCCGCCGCAUCCACUGCAACAGUGCAAAAAAAAAAAAAACACAUUGCCACUGACAGGCAAGGCUUCACUGCACUCCAGACCACAGUCCAGACUCGACUCCAGCCAGGCAUCACUCACACUAGUACGAGGUUCGCGCUGAGCUUGACAUAAAAUUGAAGAAUGGAGAGGGGACUGUCACAGCUACAUGUACUAGCAGUUAUCCUUUACCUUGGGUGUCUUGCUAGCCAAAGUCAGCAGGAUGUUUUAACCUGCAGUAUGGAAAAUGAUUUAUCAUCAAAUGGAGUGAAUGGACAGGAUGUCAGAAUCAUCGAUGGAUCUCCUGUGCAAGAUCUUAUUUUGCUUGGAAGCAGGCAGACUUUGAAUUUCAUAGAUCGAGAUAGCACUGUCUUGACUGCGAAUAUUGGGGUAUGCUACAGUACAGCAGCACACAGUUGCUACCAAGCCGGAACUAAUGAGGUAAGUAAGGAUUAUGGACACUAUACAGUAUUAAAGGGAGCCCAUCUUUAACCCUAUCUAGGCAGGGGUAUUUUGGGAGUUCAUAUGGGGGGGGGGGGCAUCCCAGUGAAUUUAGUGCAAGGGAAAUUUAAUGUUACAAAAUGUUGAUUUUUGCAUUAAAAUUCACAUAUUGCCUAUCACAAUAUGAAAUUUGUAUCAGAAGCAUAUUUGUUGGCAAGAUACAAGCUCAGUAUUGUAUCUAACUCCUAAAAAGCAAAAAUAAUUAUAUGAAGUAUAUUUCAGAAAAAAGUAGAUAUUCAAAAUUUUCAAAACUGGAUGUCGUGUCACUCACGUUUUAAAUACAUUAAGUUUUCUACAGCUGUGUACUCAGAAAAUUAAUUUAUCUCAGUACAGGAGCAAAUACAGUUUUCCCAUACCUUAUUGCAUAUAAAGUAACUUGGUCCAAUGUGUGAACCCUAUAGCACCUACAGAUUCGUAUGCAUAAUGGCAAUUACUCACUGGAGGAAACAAUAAAGCUGGUAAUAAGUAGGCAUUGUUCCAAACAAAUUGAAAUAGCUUUUUAUAAAUUUACUUUUGUUCAUUACAAGUUAUAUUUAUUUUGUAGCAUAGGACCUGUUGAAUAGAAUGGUACAUGGCAAAGUUCAAUCAGAUGUACGAAUAUUGACCUUUGACAAUCGUUUGCAGAGCGAGAAGAAAAAAAACAAAAGUUCGGGUUUCAGCCGCCCCAGUCCCACGCCUUCAAAAAAAUGUAAAGUAUCACUGACAGAAUACUAAAGUUUUCGCCAAAUCUUGGAUCAAUUAUGUCAAAAAUUAAUUCGAACUCACAUCUAGAUGUCACUCUGUGUGAUAUCCAACGUUUUGAUGAACAUAUAUCAACGCCCGAGCUUCUUCGGCGAAGUAAGUGGUUUUCUGAUACAUGGACGCAGCCAUCUUUGCUGAGAUCGACUGCGCAACAGUCUGGAACUUGCUACACACCGAUGCAUGUCAAUCGGUUUUUCUCUAUUAUACUCAAUAGAAGCAUACACUUUUCUAUGCAGAUCUAUAUAGCAGCCAACCUAUACGGUAUGCACACGCAAUAUUACCACGGUAAAUCAUAGACAAGAGAUACUAUAGCGCAAAGAAAAUGUACGGGCGGUUAAGGGCGGUUCAGUGUGUAAUAGGAAGGGCGGUCUCGGGCGGUUCAGGUGCUAAAGGGUUAAGGUUCAGCUAAAAUUAGCUGUUAAAGUUGUGUCAUGUCACUCACAAUGUUGUGUCACUCACGGUCUCAUAUUGUGUAUAAAAAAGGACUUAAAAUAAGUUUUGAAGCAUUUUAUUAGAUAAAUUCAGGGAUGGAGUCAAAAUGUUGUUCCUGACAUCAUUUAGGCCUAUGUAAGGCUACCGUAAUAUUUUACGGUAAUAUUGUUUCCAUUUCCCAACUUUCCCCUUUUCUGACGGCGGCGGCGGCGUCAACAUCAAAUCUUAACCUAAGGUUAAGAUUUUGAAAUGACAUCAUAACUUAGAAAGUAUAUGGACCUAGUUCAUGAAACUUGGCCAUAAGGUUAAUCAAGUAUUACUGAACAUCCUGCCUGAGUUUCAUGUCACAUGACCAAGGUCAAAGGUCAUUUAGGGUCAAUGAACUUUGGCCGAAUUGGGGGUAUCUGUUGCAUUACUAUCAUAACUUUGAAAGUAUGUUGGUCUAGUUCAUAAAACUUGGACAUAAGAGUAAUCAAGUAUCACUGAACAUCCUGUGCACAUGUUAGGUCACAUGACCAAGGUCAAAGGUCAAUUAACUUUGGCCAUAAUAGGGGUAUAUGUUGAAUUGCCAUCAUAACUUUGAAAGUUUAUCGAUCUGACUCAUGAAACUUGGGACAUAAGAGUAAUCAAGUUUCGCUGAAUAUCCUGUGCGAGUUUUAUGUCACAUGAUCAAGGUCAAAGGUCAUGUAAGGUCAAUGAAUUUUGGCCACACUGGGGGUAUUUGUUGAAUUUCCAACAUAUCUCUGUAUUAAAGUGUAUUGGUCUAGUUUAUAAAACAUGGACAUAAGAGUAACCAAGUAUCACUGAACAUCUUGUGCGAGUUAUAGUAGUUUUCAAAGUCAGCACUGCUGCUAUAUUGAAUCGCGUGAUACAGGUGAGACCGCCAGAGGCAUUCCACUUGUCUUUCCUCUCCAUGGUCGCCUCGGUUUCAAAAAUCCUGACAACUUUCCAUUCGUGUGAAGACUCGGAUCAUGAUUCAUAUUUUGAUGAUGCACUGAGAUUAAGAAUUCAACAACAUAAUCAACACAAAAUUAUGAAUAUAACAAGAGAAAAACUGCUAUACAUUGUAAUGAACAUAUUUACAGUGCAUAAAGAGUUGGUAAUGGUUCAAGUCAUACAGGUAUGAUUUGAACAUGGAAGGAUUGAGGGCGCUUUGAAGAUAAUGUAGAAGGAUUUUUCUCGCUCCGACAAAAUCUCUCCAAAUCCACAAUAACGGACCUUCUCUGAACUACUUCUCAGCAUCAUAUAUUAUCUGAUUGACUGAAUUUGUCGUUUCUUAUGUGUCGAUCAGUGAAAAAAAAUACAUGGGAGCGCUGAGCGAUUUCGCUCUCGUAAGCUUUGAAAUCGCACUUGCAAACCCAAUAGAGAGAGCGAUCGGGAAAAAAAAAAUCGCUCCCGUGAUCUUGUGUACAGUAACUAGCUCGGCCAUACGUCCGCUGUCUUCCCUUCGUGCGUGGGUUAUAACGUGCAUGUAAUGUACCAUUCACAUUCACAAAGCUCAGCGCAGUGAGCGCAUUAGUACAGUACGUACGGUAGAUGAAAAAAUGGCAGCCGUGUGUUGCUGCCCUCUACGUUCAAUGAGGUGUGGUUUUAUCAAGGCUUUCCGAUUAGAAUUUUCGAUAUCCUGGCGAAUCAAUGCGAGAGACAAGUUCCGAACACACGCACGUAGAUUACAAGCGCGAAGCAGCGGCACAAAUCGCGAUAUAUAGCGACUGGUAAAUACGUCUGUAAGGAUGAUGACGUCAUCCAAGAUGGCAACUUAC